CAGAGAACAGCGAUGAGACAGGAGUGAUGGAUAGUUUGCUGGAGGCUUUGCAGUCUGGAGCAGCGUUCAGAGACCGACGGAAGAGAGCACCCCGGCCCCGAGAUGGUCAGAUGAGCCUCAGUCCCAGUUCGUACCUCCAGGUUCUGAAGCCCUGUAACCAUG